AGGACGAACGCUGGCGGCGUGCUUAACACAUGCAAGUCGAGCGGUAAGGCCUUUCGGGGUACACGAGCGGCGAACGGGUGAGUAACACGUGGGUGAUCUGCCCUGCACUCUGGGAUAAGCCUGGGAAACUGGGUCUAAUACCGGAUAUGACCUGCUCUCGCAUGGGGGUGGUGGAAAGAUUUAGUCGGUGCAGGAUGGGCCCGCGGCCUAUCAGCUUGGUUGGUGGGUAAUGGCCUACCAAGGCGACGACGGGUA
rnacentral:rRNA from 1 species